AAGUCGAACGGAAAGGCCUUUUCGGAGGUACUCGAGUGGCGAACGGGUGAGUAACACGUGGGUGAUCUGCCCUGCACUCUGGGAUAAGCCUGGGCAACUGGGUCUAAUACCGGAUAGGACCGCACUUUAGUGUGUGUGGUGGAAAGUUUUUUCGGUGUAGGAUGAGCCCGCGGCCUAUCAGCUUGUUGGUGGGGUAAUGGCCUACCAAGGCGGCGACGGGUAGCCGGACUGAGAGGUUGGUCGGCCACAUUGGGACUGAGAUACGGCCCAGACUCCUACGGGAGGCAGCAGUGGGGAAUAUUGCACAAUGGGCGCAAGCCUGAUGCAGCGACGCCGCGUGGGGGAUGACGGCCUUCGGGUUGUAAACUCCUUUCGCCAGGGACGAAGCGUUUUGUGACGGUACCUGGAGAAGAAGCACCGGCUAACUACGUGCCAGCAGCCGCGGUAAUACGUAGGGUGCAAGCGUUGUCCGGAAUUACUGGGCGUAAAGAGCUCGUAGGUGGUUUGUCACGUCGUCUGUGAAAUUCCACAGCUUAACUGUGGGCGUGCAGGCGAUACGGGCUGACUUGAGUACUGUAGGGGUAACUGGAAUUCCUGGUGUAGCGGUGAAAUGCGCAGAUAUCAGGAGGAACACCGAUGGCGAAGGCAGGUUACUGGGCAGUUACU
rnacentral:rRNA from 1 species